AUUGAACGCUGGCGGCAGGCCUAACACAUGCAAGUCGAACGAGUGGCGGAAGGGUGAGUCAUGUCUGUGAAACUGCCUGAUGGAGGGGGAUCACUACUGGAAACGGUCUCUAAUACCGCAUACCAUAAGAUGUGCCCAGAUGGGAUUGGCUUGUUGGUGGGGUAUCGGCUCACCAAGGCGACGAUCCCUAUCUGGUCUGAGAGGAUGACCAGCAACACUGGAACGGAGACACGGUCCAGACUCCUACGGGAGGCAGCAGUGGGGAAUAUUGCACAAUGGGCGCAAGCCUGAUGCAGCCAUGCCGCGUGUAUGAAGAAGGCCUUCGGGUUGUAAAGUACUUUCAGCGGGGAGGCGUUACCCGCAGAAGAAGCACAGGCUAACUCCGUGCCAGCAGCCGCGGUAAUAC
rnacentral:rRNA from 1 species